CCUACGGGUGGCAGCAGUCGAGAAUCAUUCACAAUGGGGGAAACCCUGAUGGUGCGACGCCGCGUGGGGGAAUGAAGGUCUUCGGAUUGUAAACCCCUGUCAUGUGGGAGCAAAUUAAAAAGAUAGUACCACAUGAGGAAGAGACGGCUAACUCUGUGCCAGCAGCCGCGGUAAUACAGAGGUGUCAAGCGUUGUUCGGAAUCACUGGGCGUAAAGCGUGCGUAGGCUGUUUCGUAAGUCGUGUGUGAAAGGCGCGGGCUCAACCCGCGGACGGCACAUGAUACUGCGAGACUAGAGUAAUGGAGGGGGAACCGGAAUUCUCGGUGUAGCAGUGAAAUGCGUAGAUAUCGAGAGGAACACUCGUGGCGAAGGCGGGUUCCUGGACAUUAACUGACGCUGAGGCACGAAGGCCAGGGGAGCGAAAGGGAUUAGAUACCCUGGUAGUC
rnacentral:rRNA from 1 species